UUCAACGGCCGCGGUAUCCUAACCGUGCAAAGGUAGCAUAANCACUUGUCUCCUAAAUAGAGACCUGUAUGAACGGCUAAAUGAGGAUAAAUCUGUCUCCUUUAACAAAUCAGUGAAACUGAUCUACCAGUACAAAAGCUGGUAUAACCCCAUAAGACGAGAAGACCCUGUGGAGCUUUAAAUUUAAGCCAAGCAGCCAAAACAAAUACAGCUAAUGGCUAAAAAUUUUAAGUUGGGGCGACUUCGGAAAAAACCAAAACUUCCGAGCAUGACACCAUGUCUUACUAAGACCAACAAGUCAAAGCUAAAACUUGACCCAGUAUAACUGAUAAGCGAACCAAGUUACCCCAGGGAUAACAGCGCAAUCUUCUUCAAGAGUUCAUAUCGACAAGAAGGUUUACGACCUCGAUGUUGGAUCAGGAC
rnacentral:rRNA from 1 species